UACAGAGGGGGCAAGCGUUGUUCGGAAUUACUGGGCGUAAAGGGCGCGUAGGCGGCCAGCACAAGUCAGUUGUGAAAUCUCCGAGCUUAACUCGGAAAGGUCAACUGAUACUGUGCGGCUAGAGUGCGGAAGGGGCAACUGGAAUUCUUGGUGUAGCGGUGAAAUGCGUAGAUAUCAAGAGGAACACCUGCGGCGAAGGCGGGUUGCUGGGCCGACACUGACGCUGAUGCGCGAAAGCUAGGGGAGCGAACGGG
rnacentral:rRNA from 1 species